rnacentral:rRNA from 1 species
GAUGAACGCUAGCGGCAGGCUUAAUACAUGCAAGUCGUGGGGCAGCAUGAAUGUAGCAAUACAUUUGAUGGCGACCGGCAAACGGGUGCGGAACACGUACACAACCUUCCUAUAAGUGGGGAAUAGCCCAGAGAAAUUUGGAUUAAUACCCCGUAACAUAACGAUGUGGCAUCACAUUGUUAUUAUAGCUUCGGCGCUUAUUGAUGGGUGUGCGGCUGAUUAGAUAGUUGGCGGGGUAACGGCCCACCAAGUCUACGAUCAGUAGCUGAUGUGAGAGCAUGAUCAGCCACACGGGCACUGAGACACGGGCCCGACUCCUACGGGAGGCAGCAGUAAGGAAUAUUGGUCAAUGGACGCAAGUCUGAACCAGCCAUGCCGCGUGAAGGAUUAAGGUCCUCUGGAUUGUAAACUUCUUUUAUCUGGGACGAAAAAAGGCUUUUCUAAGUCACUUGACGGUACCAGAUGAAUAAGCACCGGCUAACUACGUGCCAGCCGCCGCAGUAAAAC